UAAUACGGAGGGGGCUAGCGUUAUUCGGAAUUAUUGGGCGUAAAGGGCGUGUAGGCGGCUUCGUAAGUCUUGUGUGAAAGCCCUCGGCUCAACCGAGGAAUUGCACGAGAAACUGCGUGGCUCGAGUCCGGGAGAGGAUAGUGGAAUUCCCAGUGUAGCGGUGAAAUGCGUAGAUAUUGGGAGGAACACCGGUGGCGAAGGCGGCUAUCUGGACCGGUACUGACGCUGAUACGCGAAAGCCAGGGGAGCAAACGGGAUUAGAUACCCCGGUAGUCCUGGCCGUAAACAAUGAGAACUUGGUGUGGCGGGUAUCGACCCCUGCCGUGCCGAAGCUAACGCAUUAAGUUCUCCGCCUGGGGAGUACGGUCGCAAGACUG
rnacentral:rRNA from 1 species